CCUGGCAGCCUGCCAGGUAAGCUUCUCACCUGGACAUCAUGACACCAGCGACAACAUCUUGCUUGACACUUCCACCCUAGCUGUAGAAGGUGAAGCCAAAACCGGACUGCUACAACUCCCUGCAAGUCCGAAACGGCAUCCUGCGUGGUAGCAUGGAGCUGCGGGGUCGUUUGGCUCCUAGGCCGACUGGAAUAAGCCACUUCUGGAGCUGUGGAUCAUUGCAGUUUGAACUCAACCAUCCAGGAACAACGUAGAACUAGCCAGAAGCAAGAAUCGCUGACUUAUCUACACACCAAGAUUCGUGCUUUAUCAGGAGAUUCCUUAGGCUUUGAAAAGCAGCGUCCUUCAGCAACAUUCAAACUAGGAAAUAAAUAUAAUAUUUGGAUCCCCAGCCACCAUUUCAGACCACAAGGAAACUACGAGGAUGAAAUUAAUGACUAAGAAGAGUAGAACAGAAAGAGAGAAUGACAGACCCACCUUACAAGACCUAAUAAAGGAAGUUCUUCAGGCUGAAAGCCAGUGGCUCCAGUAAUUUGAAUUUAUGUGAAAAAAACAAAGAGCACUGGUAAAGACUUUCAGGAUCAAGUAAUUCCUGGCCAAGAAACAAAAGCAAAACUGUCUCAUUCCCCAGUGGAUUUGGAUGAAAACUGGUAAUCAGCUACAACACCAAAAGGACACAUUGGAGAAGAACCAAGCUGGGUCUAUAAGGAUUUGCACAUGGGAUGGCACACACAUCCAUUCAGUAUCAAGGUCACUAUCAUCUGAUCAUAUCAAGCUGGAAACGUCACCACUAUCUGUACAGUUGGACAUGUUUAACUGCAAAAAUUAGUAUUGAUGAAUAUGCUCUGCACUACCAGGCUGGUUCAGUAAUAAAUAUGUAAAACCUUUUGUUUGAAAAAAAAAAAAGAGAUUAGCAAUAAACUGAACUUAACCAACA